UUUAAAAGGGUAUAUUUGCACCAGGAGGGAGGCCCAGGCUCCCGUCGUGGGUCCCUUUUGUCACUUCCUGGUGGUGAUGUUCCUGCAGAAGGUGAGUUUAUACAGGCAGCUGCUCUGGUCAGUCAGCCUGCCCUAUAUUCGAAGGAGCUUAUAGAUCAGCAUCCAGUUGGACCUGCAAUGGUUCAUCCAUCGGAAACAGCUUCAGAAGGACCAAUCUGGGCUGCUCUGUUUGAACCAGGGGUUAAGCAUGCAUUGUUCGUUGGAAUAGGAAUCCAGAUUCUUCAGCAGGUAGUAAAUAGUUAUAAUUUAUAAACAUUUAUAAAAUUCUCAUUUCUAUCUUAUCUGACAUUUUUUUCAUUGGGAUUGGCAAAAUGUGAUACUUUUUUCUAGCUAACUUUCUGAGAAUGACAAUCAUCGAGUUUAUUUGAUGUGAUUCAUGAUGUUUCCUGCCAGUCCUAGAGAUGUAAAAAAUGUCUGGCACAUAAAACGUCCAUUUUGUUAUGCAUUGUUCUUCAUUUGUAUCUGAAUCUAUAAUUUUUUAUUUAUGACAUUUUCCUAAUCCCUUCUCAGUUAGAAUAUCUCCCUUUUGUUCUCGGGGGAAACUAAUGACUAAAGUGUUCCUUAAAUUUUUUUCUUUGACCGGCAACUAAAGUGUUCCUUAAAUAAUUGUG
rnacentral:lncRNA from 1 species